CUUAAUAGCUCACUGGUCGAGUGAUCCUGCGCCGAAAAUUUCCGGGGCUAAAACGUACUACCGAAGCUACGGCAUCAUUUAUGAUGGGUAGGGGAGCUUCGUAUGCAGGCUGAAGCAUGACCGUAAGGACAUGUGGACAGUAUACGAGUGAGAAUGUUGGCAUGAGUAGCGAGACGUGGGUGAGAAUCCCACGGGCCGUAAACCCAAGGUUUCCAGGGGAAGGUUCGUCCGCCCUGGGUUAGUCGGGACCUAAGCCGAGGCCGAAAGGCGUAGGUGAUGGACAACAGGUUGAUAUUCCUGUACCGCCAAUAAGCGUUUGAGAGAUGGAGUGACACAGUAGGAUAAGCUAACCGUACUGUUGGUUAUGUACGGCUAAGCAUUGAGGCAGUCUAAAUAGGCAAAUCCGUUUAGACAAUGCUAGGAUAUGAUGGGUAAGCCCUUCGGGGCGAAGUAGCUGAUUUCACACUGUCAAGAAAAGCUUCUAUCGAGUUUAAAGGCGCCCGUACCGUAAACCGACACAGGUGGGUGAGGAGAGUAUCCUAAGG
rnacentral:rRNA from 1 species